rnacentral:rRNA from 1 species
AGAGUUUGAUCCUGGCUCAGGAUGAACGCUAGCGGCAGGCUUAACACAUGCAAGUCGAGGGGUAACAGGGUGCUUGCACCGCUGACGACCGGCGCACGGGUGCGUAACGCGUAUACAAUCUACCUUUUACAGAGAGAUACCCCAGAGAAAUUUGGAAUAAUACCUCAUAAUAUUAUUGCUCGGCAUCGAGUGACAAUUAAAGUUUCGGCGGUAAAAGAUGAGUAUGCGUCCUAUUAGCUAGUUGGUAAGGUAACGGCUUACCAAGGCGACGAUAGGUAGGGGUCCUGAGAGGGAGAUCCCCCACACUGGUACUGAGACACGGACCAGACUCCUACGGGAGGCAGCAGUGAGGAAUAUUGGUCAAUGGGCGAAAGCCUGAACCAGCCAUGCCGCGUGCAGGAAGACUGCCCUAUGGGUUGUAAACUGCUUUUAUACAGGAAGAAACACUCCCUCGUGAGGGAGCUUGACGGUACUGUAUGAAUAAGCACCGGCUAACUCCGUGCCAGCAGCCGCGGUAA